rnacentral:lncRNA from 1 species
GGGACCUUGUGCUUGUGAGGCAGGUGGCAGAACCACUGAGCUAAAUCCUCAGCCCCUAAGUCUUUGUUUUUUGUUAAAAGCAAUUCCCAUUCCUUGUGAACUGUCCGCAGACACCAGUGGGCUAGGACUUGCACAUGAGUAGAAUGGAAGGAUGAAUAUAUACCACUAGACAACAGCUGGGAAGCUAGCAAUACAUUCUAGAUAUGAUGAUUUUAUGAACCCUGACAGUGGUAGAGAUAGAG